GGAGAGAUGGCUGAGUGGCUGAAGGCGCACGCCUGGAAAGUGUGUUUAGGUUAAUCCCUAACGAGGGUUCGAAUCCCUCUCUCUCCGCCA
rnacentral:tRNA from 12 species